UUUCUGUCCUUUUAAACUGUCUUUAUCUCAGCCCAUGAUAUUUUUGCCCCCCCCCUCCCCUUUUUUUUUCUCACAAUUCUCUCCCCAGUCCCACUGUUGAGGAGGAGCAAGCAAACAGCUGUGUGGUGCUUAGCUGCCUGCUGGGUUACACCACAGCAAGUGAGAGCUGACUUCAGGCUGCUGAGGGAACUUGUUAGUAAGGUCCUCUGCAAAACUGCUUUUGGAGAUGUUGGUGACUGUUAGUGCUAGUCACUUUUUAAGUGCCACCUCAUAAGAGCACAGGAGCAGGUGAUUCCAAAAUGUUGGAAAUCAAGAAGGUGGGGCAGAAGGCUACUGAAAGCAAGUGUAUGUGGAAAAAGCUUAAUUAGAGUUGAAACUGGCCAGUACUUUGUUGGACAAUAAAAAGGGCUUAUCAUCACUGAAAGAAGUGUCUGUGUGAACCGUAGAUCAGUCAGCAAAUAUUAGUGGAUAGAGCUGUAUUAACACAGGAGAGAAACCAGUUUGUAAGACACUGGAGAGCACUAGAUAGUCCCAGCUUCUCUAGAAUAACAGAAGAACAGGUGCAAUCAGGGAGCAUACUGCAAUGCAGGGUAGCAGCUCGUCAGAUUUUGGACAUUAUUUCCUCAAGGAAAAAAAAGGUGAGCAAGUCAAUGCUGAUCAUUUCCAGGUUUCUGUAGCUUUUGCUGCAUAAUUUCAGUGCUCACUGGAUAACCAUCUGCAUACUAAGAGAUAAUACCACAGUAUAAUAACACAGUAUCUGAAUAAAGAUUUUUUCUCAUGUCUG
rnacentral:lncRNA from 1 species